rnacentral:rRNA from 1 species
CUACGUGCCAGCAGCCGCGGUAAUACGUAGGUCCCGAGCGUUGUCCGGAUUUAUUGGGCGUAAAGCGAGCGCAGGCGGUUAGAUAAGUCUGAAGUUAAAGGCUGUGGCUUAACCAUAGUACGCUUUGGAAACUGUUUAACUUGAGUGCAAGAGGGGAGAGUGGAAUUCCAUGUGUAGCGGUGAAAUGCGUAGAUAUAUGGAGGAACACCGGUGGCGAAAGCGGCUCUCUGGCUUGUAACUGACGCUGAGGCUCGAAAGCGUGGGGAGCAAACAGGAUUAGAUACCCUGGUAGUCCACGCCGUAAACGAUGAGUGCUAGGUGUUAGACCCUUUCCGGGGUUUAGUGCCGCAGCUAACGCAUUAAGCACUCCGCCUGGGGAGUACGACCGCAAGGUUGAAACUCAAAGGAAUUGACGGGGGCCCGCACAAACGGUGGAGCAUGUGGUUUAAUUCGAAGCAACGCGAAGAACCUUACCAGGUCUUGACAUCCCUCUGACCUCUCUAGAGAUAGAGAUUUC